rnacentral:rRNA from 1 species
ACGCUGGCGGCGUGCCUAACACAUGCAAGUCGAGGGGUAUAGUUCUUCGGAACUAGAGACCGGCGCACGGGUGCGUAACGCGUAUGCAAUCUACCUUCACAAAGGGAUAGCCCAGAGAAAUUUGGAUUAAUACCUUAUAGUAAUACGACUUGGCAUCAAGAUGUAUUUAAAGAUUUAUCGGUGAAAGAUGAGCAUGCGUCCCAUUAGCUUGUUGGUAAGGUAACGGCUUACCAAGGCAACGAUGGGUAGGGGUCCUGAGAGGGAGAUCCCCCACACUGGUACUGAGACACGGACCAGACUCCUACGGGAGGCAGCAGUGAGGAAUAUUGGACAAUGGGCGCAAGCCUGAUCCAGCCAUGCCGCGUGCAGGAUGACGGUCCUAUGGAUUGUAAACUGCUUUUAUACAGGAAGAAACACUCCGACGUGUCGGAGCUUGACGGUACUGUAAGAAUAAGGAUCGGCUAACUCCGUG